UAUAAGGCGCGCAAAAAUAAACAUGCUGUGUGGCAGGUGCAGCGCUGUCACGAUUUGUAAGCAAGUACUCGCCCGUGUCAGUUCCGCUGAUCCUGCUCCAACUGUCAUUAUGCCGAACCUAGUCCUCACCUUUCAUCUAGGAGUGUCCCUUCUCCUUUGCGGUCAUGUCAAGACUGCAAACGAUGCUACUACCAUGUCUCUGUGUUGUCUACACGAAGUGAAUUAUGGCGUGUGCAUGUUCGAGCACCACAGAUUCUACUACGACUACGACAAGAAGGUGUGCAAGAACUUCACCUAUGGGGGUUGCUAUGGAAACUGCAAUAAUUUUCCUACAGAGGAGGACUGCAUGGAAGAGUGUCAUCCAGGGCCAAAGUAACAGGGCUACAGCUUAUGAUCCAGACAUCAUGGCAUGAGCAGCAUUAAAGCUUCCUGUGGCGUA